rnacentral:rRNA from 1 species
GUAGGUGGCAAGCGUUGUCCGGAAUUUUUGGGCGUAAAGCGCGCGCAGGCGGUCCUUUAAGUCUGAUGUGAAAGCCCACGGCUCAACCGUGGAGGGUCAUUGGAAACUGGGGGACUUGAGUACAGAAGAGGAAAGCGGAAUUCCACGUGUAGCGGUGAAAUGCGUAGAGAUGUGGAGGAACACCAGUGGCGAAGGCGGCUUUCUGGUCUGUAACUGACGCUGAGGCGCGAAAGCGUGGGGAGCAAACAGGGAUUAGAUACCCUGUUAGUCCACGCCGUAAACGAUGAGUGCUAAGUGUUAGGGGGUUUCCCGCCCCUUAGUGCUGCAGCUAACGCAUUAAGCACUCCGCCUGGGGAGUACGGCCGCAAGGCUG